GUUAAGCGACUAAGCGUACACGGUGGAUGCCCUGGCAGUCAGAGGCGAUGAAGGGCGUGCUAAUCUGCGAUAAGCGCCGGUAAGGUGAUAUGAACCGUUAUAACCGGCGAUACCCGAAUGGGGAAACCCAGUGUGAUUCGUCACACUAUCAUUAACUGAAUCCAUAGGUUAAUGAGGCGAACCGGGGGAACUGAAACAUCUAAGUACCCCGAGGAAAAGAAAUCAACCGAGAUUCCCCCAGUAGCGGCGAGCGAACGGGGAGGAGCCCAGAGCCUGAAUCAGCAUGUGUGUUAGUGGAAGCGUCUGGAAAGGCGCGCGAUACAGGGUGACA
rnacentral:rRNA from 6 species